UUGUCCGGCUUUAUUGGGCGUAAAGAGCUCGUAGGCGGUCUGUUGCGUCCGCUGUGAAAACUCGGGGCUUAACCCCGAGCCUGCAGUGGAUACGGGCAGACUAGAGGUAGGUAGGGGAGAAUGGAAUUCCCGGUGUAGCGGUGAAAUGCGCAGAUAUCGGGAGGAACACCGGUGGCGAAGGCGGUUCUCUGGGCCUUACCUGACGCUGAGGAGCGAAAGCGUGGGGAGCGAACAGG
rnacentral:rRNA from 1 species